GCUGGGAACUUGUGCAAACUUGGUCAUUUAGAGAAAGUAAAAGUCAUACCAAGGUUUCUGUAGGUGAACCUGCAGAAGGAUCAUUAGUGAAUACACCGGGGCUGGGAACUUGUGCAAACUUGGUCAUUUAGAGAAAGUAAAAGUCAUACCAAGGUUUCUGUAGGUGAACCUGCAGAAGGAUCAUUAGUGAAUACACCGGGGAACCCACUCUGU
rnacentral:rRNA from 1 species